UACGAAGGGGGCUAGCGUUGCUCGGAAUCACUGGGCGUAAAGGGCGCGUAGGCGGCCACCGCAAGUCGAUUGUGAAAUCUCCGGGCUUAACCCGGAAAGGUCAACCGAUACUGCGGGGCUAGGGUGCGGAAGGGGCAACUGGAAUUCUCGGUGUAGCGGUGAAAUGCGUAGAUAUCGAGAGGAACACCUGCGGCGAAGGCGGGUAGCUGGGCCGACACUGACGCUGAGGCGCGAAAGCCAGGGGAGCGAACGGG
rnacentral:rRNA from 1 species